rnacentral:rRNA from 1 species
UGCGUAGGUGGGAAAGUAAGUCAGAUGUGAAAGUUCGGGGCUUAACCCCGGAAUUGCAUUUGAAACUGUAAUACUUGAGUACUGGAGAGGUAAGUGGAAUUCCUAGUGUAGCGGUGAAAUGCGUAGAUAUUAGGAGGAACACCAGUGGCGAAGGCGACUUACUGGACAGAUACUGACGCUGAGGCGCGAAAGCGUGGGGAGCAAACAGGAUUAGAUACCCCGGUA